CGAGGAAGAAGAGAAGAAGUAUCAAGACACCAAGGAUCUGAAGGCAGCGAGAAUUAAUGAAAAGAAAACUAUUGUUCCAGCUCAUUAGCUCUACAACUACUGAUUAAGCAUCUCCAGAUUCAAGAGGAUAGGGCUUUGAAGGUAUCAUUUUGUGCUAUUGAUGAUAAUCCACUGCAUUACAAUGAAUCUGUGUUGUAGAAGAUUUAGCUGAUCUAGUUAUGAACAUUUCGAACAAGGAUUUGAAGAGGUUGCACAUGUUCUGUUUCAGGUACUUAUAGCAAAUCUGCACUACCGUCUAAAGUCUACACUUCGAUACUUUCACUAAGGCAUUACCUGUUUUCUAUCUCUUUAGGAGAACUGAAGCUUUCAUCACCAGAAAUGUGUCCUCUCUUAUGUUUUUUUUAUACUUUGUGUAGGAAUCAAUCAAAAUAUUUUGUAGAGCACUUGUUAUGUCUUGACAAAAAGAACAUUCGCAUUUCAGUUUGGUUGACUAGCUUCUUUAGGAGGCUCUGAAGGGAAGGCAAUAGACCUUGAUGAUACUAAAUUUCAUCAUUACGCCAUCAAGUAUAUUACAACAGAACUUGAGCAUAUCCAUUGUCCACUCUGCUAUAAGUUGUGUGCUAGGCUAGAUCGUAUAUUUUUUGGGUGGUGUUCUGAACUUCUGUUGGAUAUGGUGGUUGACUACAUCAUUGAGGCGGAGGUGAUUAAGUGGUCUCCUGAUAGUAUAAAGAUUUGUUAGUAACCUGAGGCAGAGUUUUGUUGUCAAAGAGUUUUGCAGAGUUACAAUCUAUAAGGGAUUCAACACAUGGUUUCAGUGAUCCAUGUUGUGUACAGUUUGAUGAGUAAUGUAAUUGUUGUGUAGUAGUACAAUCAGACUAUUAGAUAUUGCAAGCAUUUUCUUGCCAUUUGGCGGUUCAAAGAAUUGAUAUUAGGGUAGUAGGUGAUAAUAAGACUUUUCAAUAAUCUACAAGUUAAAUAUGUAUUUAAUAAAGGGUCAUUGGUGUAGAGGAUGGGGCUUCCCCAUUUUUUUUAAUAUGUGAUUAUGCAUAAGAAAAAUUCAUCGGUCUAUUUUUUUGUUGUAAUUCGGCUGAAUGAUUCUUCCAAGAAAGAUGAGAUGGAAAAGAAGCAUCAUGGACUAACCUAGAGAAUCGAUUGUACAAUUUGUUCUCUGCUUCUUAGUGAUGAUCCUUGUGUAUUUUCAUUGAAAUAAAUAGCACUACAUAUGUACUUAUUUAGUGUGUUGACCUAGAAAAAAAUCAGGAGGCUUUAUUAUACAAUUUAUUUCUAAUUGCUAUGAACAAAUGGUUGGAUGCACAAAAAAUAAUUGUUGCAUUAUACAUGUAUUAUUUUUAUAUUAUCUUUAUAUAUUAUUACUUGAAAUGUUGACUUUUCCUUAAAAAAUGAUGCUUAUACGGCACUAAGGGCUUGCAGAGGCCGACUAAAUUCUUAGACAAUUAAAUAAACAUCAGACUAUUAAAAUUUAUGAUUACUGACUUGUUUCGCUUUUGCCUCGGUGCCGGGGCGAAUUCUCUUAGGUGAUCCUUUCUUAGAUGUGCUGGAAAGUCCUAAAGGACUUUUAGUGAGGUUACCGGAAUUCUUGAUGCAUUAGAUAAAUCAAAGGAGACAUGGUGCCACCAAAGAAUGCACAUAUGUAAAUAUGCAGGCAAUUCAAAGCAGACACAUAGCAGCAUGUUUCACAAGUUAUCAACAUUCAUUGGAAAAUAUAAAUUACUCCUAUGUUCAUUUAACAUAGUAUAUACUAAGAGUAUCUAUAUUUUAAUAGACAUGGCAUGAUGAUGUAUAGUGAUCUUGGUAUGCAAGUAUGAUCAAGACCACUUGGUCUGGCCUGUGCCCAUUUGUUCUUUGAUUCUUAUUGAAGGAAAUGACACUACUUCAAUUGUACUUAAUGUAUGUGUUGAUG